GUGGUAGUAGCAAAUAUUCAAAUGAGAGCUUUGAAGACCGAAGUGGAGAAAGGUUCCAUGUGAACAGCAGUUGGACAUGGGUUAGUCGAUCCUAAGAGAUAGGGAAAUUCCGUUUGCAAGCGCCCGAUCUUGGGCCGCCUAUCGAAAGGGAAUCGGGUUCGCGUACACGACUCUUCGGGGCAAUUGCUCAUGUAGGCCGGGCGCGGUUCGCGUACACGACUUUUUGGGGCAAUUGCUCAUGUAGGCCGAGGCCGUUCCGCGUACACAAACGCUAGGGGCAAAAAGCGCGAAGGCGCGACCUGGGCGACUGUGUAUGUAGUUAUCUGUUGCGUUAGGUUCCCGUGGAGGAUUUCGCCACAAACC
rnacentral:ncRNA from 1 species